rnacentral:rRNA from 1 species
AUUGAACGCUGGCGGCAGGCCUAACACAUGCAAGUCGAGCGGAUGAAGGGAGCUUGCUCCUGGAGUCAGCGGGGGAAGGGGGAGUAAUGCAUAUGAAUAUGCUUCGCAGUGGGGGAGAACGUCUGGAAACGGGCGCUAAUACUGCAGACGUGCAGAGGGAGAAAGAGGGGGAGGGUCGGACCGCACGCUAGGAGAUGAGCCUAGGUCGGAUUAGCUAGUUGGUGGGGUAAAGGCCUACCAAGGCGACGAUCGGUAAGUGGUCUGAGAGGAUGAGAAGUCACACUGGAGGUUGGACGCGCUCCAUGCUCCUGCGGGACGCAGCAGUGGGGAAUAUUGGACAGUGGGCGAAAGCCUGGUCCAGCGAUGCCGCGCGUGUGAAGGCGGCCUUCCGAUUGUAAAGCCCGUUUACUUGUGGGGAACGGCAGUAAGUUAAUACCAUGCUGUUUUGACGUUACCAACAGAAUAAGCACCGGCUAACUUCGUG